ensembl:lncRNA
GAAAGCAGCACAGCUCACGUCUCCUCAUUAUCUACUCGAAGGCAAAACACAAAGAGCUGAAAGAAAGAACGAUUCUGUAGUUAAGAAUGUCGAAUGAAACAAAUUAAGAGAAAGAAAGGAAGAACGAAGGAAAAUAUUCUGUAAUCAUCAUGAAUGUACAAGGAAAGAAAGGGAAAAAUAGUCAAAAACGAAGAUGGAAAGAAAGACGGGAAGAUUCAGGCAUUCAGGAGCCGUGUAUAUGCUUUAACAUCACAACUGCUGUGAUCUUCACUAAGAGAUAUUCCAGGAAUACUGGCCAUGAGGCAGGAAUACACCAUGGAUGGGGUGCUAGGUGAGCUGGGAGGAAACCAGGGAACCCGGAGGAUACCCACAGGGACACCGGGGGAACAUGCCGAUGUCCGGAUCGAACUGUGGCAAGUGGUUCUGAUGGCAGUGGUUUGAGUCACACCUGGAGGAAGUACACUCUUGGCAUUCCGCAAGGCUCAAUUCUCAGUCCUCCUUUACUUUCCCAUCUACAUUCAUCUGUAGACUUUGAGAAAUAAGAAAAGUAUUCCCAUUUGAAAAAGAUGCAGUAUCAACCAUAUGGUCCAUCAAACAUGCUUAACGUGAUCUCUUCCUUCCAGAGAGUGAAUUUUUAUGGCUCUUGCCUUACAGAGCACUUACAGAAACAAAACAAUUCAUAUCUGCAAUUGUGUGUGUGUGUGUGUAUACUUUCUCAUUCAUCAUAACCAAUACGCUGGGAUGCAUUUGGUUUAAAAGGGUCACUGUCGCAAAUCGAUCAACAGUGAUGCACUGUACUGAAAAUAAAUAAAUAAAUAAAUAAAUGAAAAUUCCGAUUGCUAUGGGACUAAAAGGCUUAAAAACUAAUGCUGGCUUUAGGCCGUAUUGAAUCAUUUUGAAUUUGCUGAGAACUUCUCCAUAGUUCAUCUCAAUAAAUCCCAGGAAAAUAACGGAGGGGGCAUUUUAUAUAGUUCAUUCCAUUAUUGUAAUUACUUCAGAUGUCCAAGUGAGGCCAAAAGCUAGGCUCCGGUUAAUGAACGAGCUGGGACAUAGGAGGACUUCCAUUUUAGCAACUUCUCU